AUCCGAUCCCCUUCAACAGCAACAUGUCCUCUGUAACUCUGCUGCUGCUGCUGGCUGCUGCAUCCUGUGUGAAGUGUGAACAGCUGACCCAGCCAACUUCUCAAACUGUGCAGCCAGGUCAAAGUCUGACCAUCAGCUGUCAGGUUUCUUAUUCUCCGGGCAGCUACUACACAGCUUGGAUCAGACAGCCUGCAGGGAAAGGACUGGAGUGGAUUGGGAUGGAACGCAUUGGAUAUACCAAAUACUACAAAGAUUCACUGAAGAACAAGUUCAGCAUCAGUUUGGAUGGCUCCAGUAAAACAGUGACUCUGAACGGACAGAAUAUGCAGCCUGAUGAUUCUGCUGUGUAUUACUGUGCCAGAGCCACAACUUGCUCUAAUGCUGUCAGCUGCAGGAGAAGAGAAACUCCCAUCACCUUCAACACCAACAUGUUCUCUGUAGCUCUGCUGCUGCUGCUGGCUGCUACUGCUGCAUCCUCUACUAUGCAGCUUGGAUCAGACAACCUGCUGGAAAAGGACUGGAGUGGAUUGGGAUGA